UAACACUCCUAAGGACCUUCAGAAAGGCUA
rnacentral:piRNA from 1 species